CGGGUUAACUCGACGCUCCAGCUAGGACCGAAGAUAAGACGCUGACUCCAGCCCAAGGUCACGGCAGACAAUCGACGCUCGACUGCCUGCCAAGAAAGACGGGGGCCUGAAUUCCAACCCUGACCAACCAUGAGAAAGGAGAAUUCAGCUGAACAAAACUGCAGGGGCUGCAAAAACUAAUGAGACAACGAAGGUCAGCGAGGGGGACAACAACAGUUUUGCGUCCCUGAAGCCGGUGUGUUUUGGGAAAGCUGAGGGAGCCACGGAAGGCUGGUUUGGACUGGUACAAAGAGCACAGGGGACAGAGGUCCCUGAAUGAAAUGCCCCCAAAAGACCCAAGGACUCAAAACCCUCCUGAGAGCUGAAGCAAAUCGGAGAUCAACAGUGGACCCUGGAUGGCCUGUGCAUAGGACAGAACUCUAGUCCACCCUUCCCCCUCUUCUUCUUACGUUACACCCAGGCUUGGCCAGCCUUGGAUUGUUCAUGUUUAGUCAGCACAUCCUGAAGGGACUAGUCAAAGAAAAUGGCUCAUCAAGGGACACUUAACUCACAAUGGACCAUGGGAGCCACCCAUCUACAUUGAAUGGACUUUCCUGUGGACAUUCCAUAUGAAGUACAGGUCUAUUUAUACACGGCUCAUCUGUCCAUUCUAUAACAGUAGUGCUGUCUAGAGGAACAGAGACAUGAGUGGGAUCGAGAACGACUGUGUUCAAAUUCCAGCUCCGCCACAAACAGCUUCUAGCAUUGGAUAAAUUGAUGUCUUCACAUCAGAUAGAGAAGCAGAAGGGAAUCAUUCUCCAAUCCAUCCAAGGGGAAUAACACUACAUUUUUACUUUGGGUCCUUUUCUAUUAAGUUAUGUUAAUAAAAAUGCUAUUUCAUAAUCUUAGGAAGAUUAAUAGACUAACUCGACCUAUUCCUAACCCCUGCACUCAUUUAAUCAAUACAGAAGAGGAAUGGAAACAACCAUUUUGGCAGGUUUAAAA